UUAAGUUCAGCGGGUAGUCUCACCCGAUUUGAGGUCAAGGUUCGUGGGUCGAGUGGCAAUCACUCGGCCAUUGUCUUCUAAUGAGACGGUUAGAAGCGGGAUGCGGAUGCGAAACCCAAGACGUAGAAAUAUCUUAUCACGUCAGGGAUUGGCAAAGCAGACCCCACUAAUUCAUUUCAGAGGAGCUGGCUUCAACAAGG
rnacentral:misc_RNA from 1 species